rnacentral:rRNA from 1 species
UACGGGAGGUGCAAGCGUUGUUCGGAGUGACUGGGCGUAAAGCGCACGUAGGUGGGCUUGUAAGUCGGAUGUGAAAUCCCCGGGCUUAACCUGGGAACUGCAUCCGAAACUACAAGUCUUGAAUGCUUCAGAGGUUGGUAGAAUUCCAGGUGUAGGAGUGAAAUCCGUAGAUAUCUGGAGGAAUACCGGAGGCGAAGGCGGCCAACCUGG